AGAACGAACGCUGGCGGCAUGCCUAAUACAUGCAAGUCGAACGAACUCUUCGGAGUUAGUGGCGCACGGGUGCGUAACGCGUGGGAAUCUGCCCCUUGGUUCGGAAUAACAGUUGGAAACGACUGCUAAUACCGGAUGAUGACGAAAGUCCAAAGAUUUAUCGCCAAGGGAUGAGCCCGCGUAGGAUUAGCUAGUUGGUGAGGUAAAGGCUCACCAAGGCGACGAUCCUUAGCUGGUCUGAGAGGAUGAUCAGCCACACUGGGACUGAGACACGGCCCAGACUCCUACGGGAGGCAGCAGUGGGGAAUUUGGGACAAGUGGGGGAAACCCUGGAUCCAGCCAUCCCGCGUGUGCGAUGGAAGGCCGUUACGGGUUGUAAAGCACGUUUGGCAGGGACGAAGCGCAAGUGACGACUG
rnacentral:rRNA from 1 species